rnacentral:rRNA from 1 species
UACGUAGGGUGCAAGCGUUAAUCGGAAUUACUGGGCGUAAAGCGUGCGCAGGCGGUUGUGCAAGACCGAUGUGAAAUCCCCGGGCUUAACCCUGGGAAUGGCAUUGGUGACUGCACGGCUAGAGUGUGUCAGAGGGGGGUAGAAUUCCACGUGUAGCAGUGAAAUGCGUAGAGAUGUGGAGGAACACCGAUGGCGAAGGCAGCCCCCUGGGUCAAGAUUGACGCUCGAUGCACGAAAGCGUGGGGAGCAAACAGG